GAUGACUCCUAAACAAAGAAAGAACAAUGGUAAUUUCCUUGUGAACCGGUACACCAGGACAGAACCUCUUUCUCAGUUAAACAAAGCAAACUAACUAAAGCUCAUGAACUGUUGUUGGCUCAACAGUGAGACAAAGGGUGACAAAACUUUUUGAGGGAGAAGUUAAUAGACAUCAGAGGAUGCUGAGGAGGGGUAGGGACUCACAUUUAAGAGCUCUCACAGCUGGGAGUCUCACAGCUGCUAGAAGGAAGAGUUGGGAAAUGUUGACACUGACAUUUUCAAGAGGGAGGAGUGCCUCACAGGAAAACGAUCCUGGCUUGGGAAGGUUUUAAUUAAAUUAUUAUUAUAAUUACUUUAUGUGCUGUAAUACUUGCAUUGCUAUUCAUUUGCACACUUUUGAACAGCUUUUUUCUUGUAAAAGAUCAUGUUGUUUUGAUAGUUACAUGUACAGUAAGUUUCUUAAAUGCACUGAUUUUGUGGGAUUUCACUUUAAUAUCAAAUAGAUAAGAUUUCCCUGAGACUACAAGCUGUGGUUUGAAACCACGAAUGCAGAGUUCCCUGUAGAUUGUAGGAACCAAAAAAGAGGAUGUUGGUGAGUCACAAGAGGCCAGUGAAUUGCAUACCUGUAAGGGGGAUUUCUCUAGUGAAACACUGUUAGAGAUGACAACAAAUAUUGAGAGUCAAAAACAAUGCAGAGAGCACAAUGGAGAGAGUGGGUACCUGAAAGUCAUCCCAGGGCUGGUGGAACUGAUGACCAAGAGACCUUUUUCAGUAUUGCCAACUGCUAGCUGGAACUGACCUUCUCUCUUAAGUAGUUUCAAAGAAAAGUGGCCACAACUGGUCAGGUAAAGAAGCUUUCACAUUACCCUAGGUUUUGGACACAGUGCACAGCAUUCCAUUUUGAUGCUGUUUCUGCAUGAUGCUUUGCAUGUGGGAUGGCCAAAGAAUUAAGAAACUAGAACCAGUAGAAUCAACACAAGUGAAAAGGGAAAUUCAAGGUCUGAACCACUGAAAAAUGUUACAAAACCCUCACAAUAAUUAAUCACACAUUUCAAUAUUUGACAAAAUCCAUCAAAUCUUUAAAAUAAUUUGAACUUGAACUUGAACUUUAUUUUUACCUAGACACGGCAAAUCUAUCAGGUAAAAUAAUA